rnacentral:rRNA from 2 species
UAAGCGGAGGAAAAGAAACUAACAAGGAUUCCCCUAGUAACGGCGAGUGAAGCGGGAAGAGCUCAAAUUUGAAAUCUGGUAGCCUUCGGUUGCCCGAGUUGUAAUCUAGAGAAGUGUUUUCCGUGCCGGCCCAUGUACAAGUCCCUUGGAACAGGGCGUCAUAGAGGGUGAGAAUCCCGUCCUUGACAUGGACCCCCGGUGCUUUGUGAUACACUUUCAACGAGUCGAGUUGUUUGGGAAUGCAGCUCAAAAUGGGUGGUGAAUUCCAUCUAAAGCUAAAUAUUGGCGAGAGACCGAUAGCGAACAAGUACCGUGAGGGAAAGAUGAAAAGCACUUUGGAAAGAGAGUUAAACAGUACGUGAAAUUGUUGAAAGGGAAACGAUUGAAGUCAGUCAUGCUCUUGGGACUUACCUCCCUUGAGUGGGGUCAACAUCAGUUUUGAUCGAUGGAUAAAGGCACGAGGAAGGUAGCACUCUCGGGUGAACUUAUAGCCUCGCGUCAUAUACAUUGAUUGGGACUGAGGAACGCAGCAUGCCUUUAUGGCCGGGAUUCGUCCACGUACAUGCUUAGGAUGUUGACAUAAUGGCUUUAAACGACCCGUCUUGAAACACG